AAGACUAUGCUUUCAGGGGUCAUUUCUAUAGUUUUUAACCAGGAAAUGUGAGUUGAAGAGGUUAAGUCUCUCUAAUCACAAUGAUGAACCUUGAUGUACUCUUCCGAGCACGAAUCAGAUUUUAGCUAAUGGUUUACUCAUUGGCUUUAAUUAUUGAUGAGUGUUCUCAAGUUCUGUAUGAGGAGAAGAGUGCAUGAUCAGAGUGAU